AUGCCAGAGGAACCCAUCGAGCAGGAGCGCUUUAAGCGCCAACUAAUCGCAACUGCGAGAAGCCUAAAAAAGAAGCAGCAACAGCUCCAAGCCGAACAGGAUACACUCAAUGACAGAUGGACCCAGGUCCUAGCUGCCGAAGAAUAUGGCCUCCAAUGCCCAACAAAGAGUUACCUGAAGCGUCGGCUACUACCACAAUUUGACGACGAGGCCCUCGAGCCAAUACCGUCAAGACAUGAACGCGCUGAUGAACCAGACCGGCCACCACGUGGGCAAGAUAAAGUGGCCAUCUACGCCGAACACCAACCCGCACCACCUAGGCCGUAG
rnacentral:rRNA from 1 species